UACGGAGGGUGCAAGCGUUAUCCGGAAUCAUUGGGUUUAAAGGGUCCGCAGGCGGAUUUAUAAGUCAGUGGUGAAAUCUCUCGGCUCAACCGAGAAACUGCCAUUGAUACUGUAAGUCUUGAAUUCGGUCGAAGUGGGCGGAAUAUGACAUGUAGCGGUGAAAUGCAUAGAUAUGUCAUAGAACACCGAUAGCGAAGGCAGCUCACUAGGCCUGGAUUGACGCUCAGGGACGAAAGCGUGGGGAGCAAACAGGAUUAGAUACCCUGGUAGUCCACGCCGUAAACUAUCAAUACUCGAUAUUGGCGAUAUACAGUCAGUGUCUAAGCGAAAGUGAUAAGUAUUGCACCUGGGGAGUACGAUCGCAAGGUUGAA
rnacentral:rRNA from 1 species